GGAAGGGGUGUAUUUAUUAGAUUAAAAACCCAAUGCCCUUCGGGGCUCACUGGUGAUUCAUAAUAACUUCUCGANUCGCAUGGCCUUGUGCCGGCGAUGGUUCAUUCAAAUUUCUGCCCUAUCAACUUUCGACGGCUGGNUCUUGGCCAGCCGUGGUUACAACGGGUAACGGAGGGUUAGGGCUUGACCCCGGAGAAGGAGCCUGAGAAACGGCUACUACAUCCAAGGAAGGCAGCAGGCGCGCAAAUUACCCAAUCCCAAUACGGGGAGGUAGUGACAAUAAAUACUGAUACAGGGCUCUUUUGGGUCUUGUAAUUGGAAUGAGUACAAUUUAAAUCCCUUAACGAGGAACAAUUGGAGGGCAAGUCUGGUGCCAGCAGCCGCGGUAAUUCCAGCUCCAAUAGCGUAUAUUAAAGUUGUUGCAGUUAAAAAGCUCGUAGUUGAACCUUGGGCCUGGCUGGCCGGUCUGCCUCACCGCAUGCACUGGUCCGGCCGGGCCUUUCCCUCUGGGGAGCCGCAUGCCCUUCACUGGGUGUGUCGGGGAACCAGGACUUUUACUGUGAAAAAAUUAGAGUGUUCAAAGCAGGCAUAUGCUCGAAUACAUUAGCAUGGAAUAAUAGAAUAGGACGUCGCGGUUCUAUUUUGUUGGUUUCUAGGACCGCCGUAAUGAUUAAUAGGGACAGUCGGGGGCAUCAGUAUUCAAUCGUCAGAGGUGAAAUUCUUGGAUCGAUUGAAGACUAACUACUGCGAAAGCAUUUGCCAAGGAUGUUUUCAUUAAUCAGGAACGAAAGUUAGGGGAUCGAAAACGAUCAGAUACCGUUGUAGUCUUAACCAUAAACUAUGCCGACUAGGGAUCGGGCGGUGUUAUUUCUUGACCCGCUCGGCA
rnacentral:rRNA from 1 species